UUAUUGCUUCAUAUUUGAUGAUUUCUGAAUGUCUGACCUGGAAAAAAGUGGCUUUUAAUACUACUUUAAGACCACUCUUCUAACUCCCUCUGCAGUAUUCACUGCAAUUCCUGUGAAUUGUUUAUGGUAGGUAAGUCUGGCUUUGGUUAGUGUUUUUGUUUUGUUUUGUUUUUUAAAUUGGGUUUUAUGCAAUAUCAUAUCACUAUGUAGUCCUUUCUGGCCUCAAGUUGUGGUCUUCUUGCCUCAGCCUCCUGAGCGCUAGAAUUUAUAGGCAUGCACCCCCAAGCCUUGCUAUGGCAGGGUUUAUGGAUGGGUAUGGAAACAAAGGAAACAGUUAAAGACUGAGGCUUAUUGGAGGGCUGUGCAUCAUUAGAAUGAGGGGAGGGGGACCAGGGGCUAGAGAGAUGGCUCAGAAGCUCUUCCAGAGGCCCUGAGUUCAAUUCCCAGCAACCACAUGGUGGCUCACAACCAUCUAUAAUAGGGUCCAGUGCCCGAUUCUGUUGUGUCUGAAGUCAGAGCACUUCUGUACAUUAAAAACAAACAACAAAAAAAAACUCAACCAAAAACAAAACCCCAGAACAGUGGGUCUGUAGCAGAGGCAGGUGGAUCUCUGAGUUUGAAGUCAUCCUGGUCCACAAAAAAGAGUUCUAGGACAACCAGACUACACAAAGAAACUGUGUCAAAAUAAAUAAAACAAUAACAAUUAAAAUACCCAGAACAGGUCAUCUUAACAUUGGAAAGGAAUUAACUUCUGGUUAUUUUUCUGGUUAUGUAUAUAGUAAAAAGGAUAGACUUGAUUUUUUAAAAAACUAAUUGAUUACAUUCUAAAGUUUGUUUUUCUUCUCUGUGCUGUUGCUAAGUGAAGAAAUCCAAGGCACUAAGGCACUAUGAAGGAGAGAGUUCAGUAUUAGACAUGAAAGUGGAGCAAAUGUCAGGAGAAAGGAGGGAACUCAUUGCUUGGACAUUACAAAGAGGGUGCAUUGGGCUGAGUAAGACAAAGGCUUUAGAUGUGAACCGAAGGCAUCACCAUUUGACUUGCAAUAUUCUAUCUAGCAAGAGCAGAAAAACUAGGGCUGAAUCUAACCCCCUGGCUUAGUUUCCAGAAGGAAAACUGUUGUGGUGCCAAGACAUCCUGACAAAAGUGACUUAAGGGAGAAAGGGUUUAUUCUAGCUUAUAGUCUGCAGGAACUUGAAACAUCAGGGAUGCUUUGUCUGCAGCCAGAGAGUAAUGAAUGCCCGAGUUCAGUUUAUUCUCCCCAUUUUAUAUAGAUCAAGGACUAGUCCAACCUCCAGUUAAAAUGGGUCUUUACACACCAAUCCACAUAACCAAGAGGAUCCCUUACGGGCAUGCUCAGGGGCCCAUCUUCCAGGAAAGUCUAAAUCCUGGGAUGUUGACCGUACUCAUCAUACUUUGCUACCUUAAGAAAGCAGCAAACAGGGCUGGUGAGAUGGGUGGCUCAGGGAGUAAAGGUAUCUGAUGACCUAAGUUCAGUUCCUGGGACUCACAUGUUCAAAGUGGAGAACUGACUUCUGCAAAUUGUCCUCUGACACCCACGUCGCUGCCUCUCCCUGUAAAGAAGUAGGAAAGAGGAAAGAAAAGAAACCAGAAAACUAGCUGGGCAUAGUGGCCUUGUCCUGUAAUGCCAACACUUGGAAGGGUGAGAGCGGAAGAACCUCUCAAACUGGAGGCUAGUCUGCUACAGUGAGACUAUCUCAAAGAACAAGCCAGGUGUUAUGGUGAGCAACUGUGAGGGUAGUGAGUUCCCUACUUGGGCCAGAGCCACCAAGCCCAGACAACUGGCUCAGUGUAUAUAUAGUGUACUGCCUAGGCAAUGCAAUCCUUAGUCCUGUCCUCAACACU
rnacentral:lncRNA from 1 species